rnacentral:rRNA from 1 species
AUUGAACGCUGGCGGCAUGCCUUACACAUGCAAGUCGAACGGUAACAGGUCUUCGGAUGCUGACGAGUGGCGAACGGGUGAGUAAUACAUCGGAACGUGCCUAGUAGUGGGGGAUAACUACUCGAAAGAGUGGCUAAUACCGCAUGAGAUCUACGGAUGAAAGCAGGGGAUCGCAAGACCUUGUGCUACUAAAGCGGCCGAUGGCAGAUUAGGUAGUUGGUGGGAUAAAAGCUUACCAAGCCGACGAUCUGUAGCUGGUCUGAGAGGACGAUCAGCCGAACUGGGACGGAGACACGGCCCAGAAUCCUACGGGAGGCAGCAGUGGGGAAGUUUGGACAAUGGGCGCAAGCCUGAUCCGGCAAUGCCGCGUGCAGGAUGAAGGCCUUCGGGUUGUAAACUGCUUUUGUACGGAACGAAAAGCCCCGGGUUAAUACCCUGGGGUCAUGACGGUACCGUAAGAAUAAGCACCGGCUAACUACGUGCCAGCAGCCGCCGUAA